UACGUGCGAAGCGCCGAAGCCGCGAGGCGACGGCGUUCUCGCCGGAUGUAGGAACCGACCCGGGGACCGCCGGGGGCAACCCCGGCGCCCCCCGAGACGGGGCGAACCACGGUGAAAUGACGGAUCGUCGGCCCCGCGCCGGCGACUCGCCGAAUGAGUUUCUGACCUAUCAACUCGAGACGGCGGGGUAGAGGCCCGCCGCGGUAACGACGGGUAACGGGGAAUCAGGGUUCGAUUCCGGAGAGGGAGCCCCGAGAAAACGGCUACCACUUCCAAGGAAGGCAGCAGGCGCGCAACUUACCCUAAUCUCGAUUCGAGGAGGUAGUGACAAGAAAUACCGAUGCGGGACCCUACGGGUGCCGCGUUCGGAAUGAGUACGAUUCGAACCACCUAACGAGGAACGAUCGGAGGGCAAGUCUGGUGCCAGCAGCCGCG
rnacentral:rRNA from 1 species